CAAGAAUGAAGUAAAAUUAGUAGGGUUUGACAUUUUGGGAUCAUAACUUUAGCAAUUCCUAGGAGAAUAUUGAACUGCGCAUUUCCGAAGGGCGGAUGACAAUUGAUUCAUAGUACGAUCCAGGCUCUAGUUCUACGCCUCGUGGCUAAUACGCGAGGGUGACAUCUUUCGGUCACUUAGGGUGAGCUACUUGGUCAUCCGUGGCCCCUAAAGGAUCCUCUUUAUUUAUUUCUGUUUUUGUAUUCGACGGACAGUAUGUAGCCUUCGGACAUUUUCAGACUUGUAUUCCCGACUAUGUUUAACGCUCUUGUACCCUUUGACCAGAUUUUGGGGAUGUUGAGACAUUUUACGGUUACAAUAAGCAUUUAAGACUUGAUAACUUCUUCUUA